rnacentral:rRNA from 1 species
CCUACGGGAGGCUGCAGUCGAGAAUCAUUCACAAUGGGGGAAACCCUGAUGGUGCGACGCCGCGUGGGGGAAUGAAGGUCUUCGGAUUGUAAACCCCUGUCAUGUGGGAGCAAAUUAAAAAGAUAGUACCACAAGAGGAAGAGACGGCUAACUCUGUGCCAGCAGCCGCGGGAAUACAGAGGUCUCAAGCGUUGUUCGGAAUCACGGGGCGUAAAGCGUGCGGAGGCUGUUUCGUAGGUCGUGUGUGAAAGGCGCGGGCUCAACCCGCGGACGGCACAUGAUACUGCGAGACUAGAGUAAUGGAGGGGGAACCGGAAUUCUCGGUGUAGCAGUGAAAUGCGUAGAUAUCGAGAGGAACACUCGUGGCGAAGGCGGGUUCCUGGACAUUAACUGACGCUGAGGCACGAAGGCCAGGGGAGCGAAAGGGAUUAGAUACCCCAGUAGUC